CUUGAACUUGUGAUCCUCCUGACUCAGUCUCCUAAUUUGCUGGGAUUACAGGAGUGUGCUAUCACACCUGGCCAGAAACACUUAAAGAGGCACAUAUAGAAUAGUGUGAUGGGUCCCCAAGAAUGUAUUACUCAGACUUAACAAACAUCCGCUCUAGGCUAAUGGCAGAAUACCCAAGACAGGCCACCUAUCUCUGAGGCCUCCGUGUCUGGCAAUGGCAUUAGGCAAGCACAGGCAUAAUGUCCAUAAGGGAAAAGACUCAAAGGACAACACACUGUUUAUUGUUAUGAGUAUUGAUUUGUCCAAAUUAGGAUCAAAACAAGGCCUACCCAGGGUAUUUGAUAUGUCUUUUAAAGAAUCCAUAACUCUAUAUCUUCCUUUUUAUGUAUCGAAAAAUGGGUUAUUGUCUUGUAAAUUUUCCCAUGUUUUGAUUUGGUUGCUUAUUUUCUUCAGGUUCCUCUUGCUGCCAUAUUUCCUGUACAUUUGCAGUUACAUGUAGAGACUUAAUUAUAACGAUCCAGGGUCAGCUGAUUCAACGUGAACACUUCGUAGGUGAUUCUGUGUACUCGAGUUGCAUCAUAUCUAAGGACCUUCAUAUGUGGUGGUCACCCUUUCUGUGGGGUCAGCUGAUCUAUCCCACCACCCUGUCACCUUUCAUUGUUAGCAGCUGUGUCAGGGAUCUCUAAGAUUACCCUCAGGUUCCAUGAUUCACUGGAUGGAUUUACAGAACUAGAAAAGCUGUUAGACUCAGUAUUCCUGCUUACUGUAGAGAAAGAGUACAGAUUAAAGUCAGCGAAAGGAAAAGCACAUGAGUGAAGUCUAAGAGAAAACACACCCAAGCUUCUGAUUGUCCCCCCUGUAUUAACCCUGUGUUUCUGAUGCCUUGUCAUGGAGGGGAGGAGGGACUUGGCUGGCUGACCCUGAAGAUACUGCCCUCCCAGGGCAAGCUAGCUGUUUCCUAC
rnacentral:lncRNA from 1 species